rnacentral:rRNA from 1 species
UACGGAGGGUGCAAGCGUUAUCCGGAUUCACUGGGUUUAAAGGGUGCGUAGGCGGAUCGGUAAGUCAGUGGUGAAAGCCCCGAGCUUAACUUGGGAACUGCGCUCGAAACUACUUGGCUAGAGUGUGGCAGAGGGAGGUGGAAUUCCACGUGUAGCGGUGAAAUGCGUAGAGAUGUGGAGGAACACCGAUGGCGAAGGCAGCCUCCUGGGCCAACACUGACGCUCAUGCACGAAAGCGUGGGGAGCAAACAGG